ACGGCUCAGUAACACGUCGAUAAUCUACCCUUAAGACUGGGAUAACCUUGGGAAACUGAGGCUAAUACCGGAUAAAGAACGAAAGCUGGAAUGCUUCAUUCUUGAAAGGUAACACUUAAGGAUGAGUCGGCGGCGGAUUAGGUUGUUGGUGAGGUAAUGGCUCACCAAGCCAAAGAUCCGUACGGGCCAUGAGAGUGGUUGCCCGGAGAAGGACACUGAGAAACUGGUCCUAGCCCUACGGGGUGCAGCAGGCGCGAAAACUUUACAAUGCACGAAAGUGUGAUAAGGGAAUCCAAAGUGCUCAUGUUUAACAUGGGCUUUUGCCAAGGGUAAAUACCUUGGAGAAUAAGUGGUGGGAAAGACUGGUGCCAGCAGCCGCGGUAACCCCAGCGCCACAAGUGGGAGCCACAAUUAUUUGGCCUAAAGCGUCCGUAGCUGGUUAUGUAAAUCUUCUGUGAAAUCGGAAAGCUCAACUUUCCGGCGUGCAGAAGACACUGCAUAGCUUGAGAUUGGGAGGGGUAAGGAGUAUUCCUAGGGAACCGGUAAAAUGGGAUAAUCCUAGGAGGACUACCUGUGGCGAAGGCGCCUUACCAGAACAAGUCUGACAGUGAGGGACGAAGGCUAGGGGAGCGAACCGGAUUAGAUACCCGAGUAGUCCUAGCAGUAAACUCUGCGGGCUAGGUGUUACACCAUCUAUGUGAUUGUGUAGUGUCGUAGCGAAAGCAUUAAGCCCGCCGCCUGGGAAGUAUGGUCGCAAGACUGAAACUUAAAGGAAUUGGCGGGGGGAGCAC
rnacentral:rRNA from 1 species